UUAGAGGAAGAAGUAGAGGUAUUGUAUGAAUGUCCUGAAGUUUAAAGAGCACUAAAGCUUGUUUGGCAGCUAAGCUACUGUUGGGUCAUCUUAAUCCUUUUGAGGGUUGUUUUCUUCAGUAUUCGAUGGGGCAAGUGUAAAGUGCUCUCUACUUAAGGACAGUCAUUCUCCAACAUUUCAGUUUCAUGACCCUCUUAGACGCUUAAAUUCAGUAAGGGCUCCAAAGAACUCUUGCUUACAUGGGUAACAUUGAUAAUUAUCAUAUUAGAAGCUAAAACUGAGAAGUUUAACAAUAUUUACUUAGCAGUUCCUUUUAAAAUUACAAUAAAUAAACCCAUUACAUGCUCAACCCUCUCAACUAUGUAUUUAUUUACUUAGAGUUUUAGUUUCUUCUUAAGCACAAAUAAAUAUAUUAAAUCUUGACCUGCCUUAUGGAAAAUGUUUCUUCUCAAGGAUGAGAGAAAUGAGAAUUCUGGACAUAUUUCUAACUGACAUAAAAAAGGCAAUGGGGGUUGUAUUUGUCAACCUUUGGUUUCUAUAUUAGUUUUCUUGAUAUAUAAAUUCAAUUGUUUUGCUCCUUUCUUUUGUCCUCUACCAGUCUGAUUAAUUAGAAGGCUUAACAUUUCCUUUUUCUUUAUACUCUGCCAUUUUAAAAAAUGCUGUUGGUCAGUCUUUGUCUUUCCUUGCAGGCAGGUUGUUCAUUUAUUGUGCUUGUCGGAGGGUGUUGUAGAAGCUCCUGCUUCUCAUUUCUGUCGCUGUGUUCCUCUUUCUAUCUGCUGUUGAUGCACGAGCACUUUCAUCUGAGCAUCUCCCUCUUUAGCCACAUGGAUCUCUUUAAGUUUUUCUGUUUUCUUCAUUAUCGUAAUUAAUAAUCAUACUACCUGGAGCUCAUGUUUUAGUAUUUUCAAAGUCUUCCCCUUCUUGCCUUUGGGACCUACUGAAUUUUAAAGUCGUCAUUCCUUAGAUUAAAAAAAAAAAACGGAAACAAAUAAUGGGAUAUCUUAUACGUCACAUCUGUGUAUCCUUUCGGAUUGUUAUUGUUAGUAUGAAAAUAAAAUUCUAAGUGACCCAAAUCCUUUCUCCUACAUUAAUUCAUUUUCUCAUUCAACAAAUAUUUGAGUACUGUAGUCAACAAUACAAUCAAAAUCCUUGCCUUGAAAUUUACAUUCCAAUUAGAAGAAAAGCUGUAACAAACACUGUGUACUCGUGUCAAGUAGUAACGAGUGCCAUGGAGAACAGUCAGAGGAUAAGGAGUGUCCUGUUGGGCUCUGAUGUAAAGAUGUGUCAGGAAAGGCCUUGGUGACACAUAAGCUGAGACAUGAAAGGAGCAGAGGGCGCCGAGUGGAUAUGUGCAAGAAGAGUAUUCAGCCAAGGAGCAGCAGGUGCGGAGGUUCUGACACAGUUGUGUGGCCGGUGUGUGAACCAAGGAGGCCAGUGCGGCUGGAGCUCCGUGAACGAGGAGGGGAGCAGAGGGGGUGAGGUGAGGUCAGAGGGCGGGGGUGCUGGAUCAUAGAGUGCCAUAAGAGCCCUGAUGGAAGGACUUUCACUGACAUCAUGCCCGAAGUUUCCAGUUCUCAGAUUACCAACUAGAAUUCUGUCAGAUAUAUCAACAUUUAAGAGUUGUUAUAUCAGACAGAGAGAAAAUUGGCAGUCAGGAGUAAGUCAAGGCUUGCUUAGAGGUAUUGCUUGAGCAAAACUGAAAUUUCCAAGAUAUGUUUACAUAGUGCACGUUCAUCAUCACUCCUGUCCUGUUCUAGAGCCUCCAGCAAGUGACUGUUAGAGUAGAGGCUGCCCUUUCCCCACAGUGUGGAUCCAUCUUAGUGAUACACUUCUAGUGAAUUGGCAAGUGACACUGACUUCUGAAGCUAAGUUAGAAAAGGGCAAUACGCCUUCAGCCUAGUUCUCGCUCUCCUGGAACACGUGCCUUUGCUGCCCUGAGCCACCACACAAGAAGUCUAGUUACCAUGAAGCCACCGUGCUGGAGAGACCAUGUAGAGACACCACAUAGAGAGAAGGUGGUACCAGAAACCCCAGCUGUUUCAGUCUGGAGAUUUGGAUUACCCCAACCCAGUACCAGACAUGUGAGCGAAGAAACCCUUGAGGUGACACCAGUUCCAGCCACCAUCUGAUUGUGACAUCACAAGUGCUCAAGCGAGAACAACCCCAUUGAGUACUUCCCAGAUACCCAACCUGCAGAAACCAGGAGAGAUAAUAUAUGACUGUUGUUGUUUUAAGUCACUAAAAAAAAUAAAGAACUUUUUAAAGUUAGAGGCUACCGAUGUUUGAAUUAAAAUGAUGUGUCUUUUUGGAAGGAGCUCAAUAAAAAUCUUUUGAGACCUCUUUCUGACAGUGCAUUAAAGUUACCAGUAGAGGUCAUACCUGAUAUUUUCACAUCCUCUUUUCUGUAAGUAUAUAGAGAAACCAAGAAAUGUUAUGUAGUACAUUAGUAGGAGAAGUUCAGAAAACUUUAUCUUGGACUGUUAGUAGUCUACUUGCUAUAUUGUAUGAAUAAUAACUACUGUGUGGGAGUAAGUAUUGUCUUAGUGAAAUAUGUCUACCAUCAUAACAAUAUAUAUUUUAGAGUCUGCAUCAGCAUGUGCAUUAUGAAAACUACACUCUUACAGUCUGUCAAAACUCAUUUGGGCGUGUAUGGAUUCUAGAUAAAUGAGAAUUUGCAUUAAAUUACUAUAAAAAACUAAUGGACAAUAAUCUUAUCAAAAGAUUGUUUUCUCUUUCAAGGAAAUGGGUCCUGAUGAAUAUGAAGAGAUGGAAGAAGAAGAAGAGGAGGAGGAAGAAGAAGAUGAUGAUGAGUCAGCCGACAUGGACGAAUCAGAUGAAGACGAAGAGGAGGAGAGGAGGAGGAGAGUCUUUGACGUUCCCAUUCGCAGGCGCCGCUGCUCCCGUCUUUUUUAGCCCGCCUUCUGCUGGCGGAAGCACUGGAUGACUCUAGUCUGUUAAAUAGAAUUCUGAAUAAUGUAAAAUAACUAAAUUGUGCUUGGCAUAUAGCAGGAAACUAGCAUGAAAUAUUGUUCCAGGCCCUGGGUCCUGGGCAACACUACAUUAGGAAUUGGAUUGUUUUGGUUUGCUUUGUGGUUUUGAGGUAGAAAAGGAAUUGGGAAUUUUCUUUUCCAGGAGUCAGUAAAGGAACAGGCAGUUCCCAUUUCUAGCUAAGGAACAGAUAGUUCUCUGUUUUAAAAUAUUUUCUACUUACAAAAAAUAUAGAAAUGGAGAGGGAAUUGUUUUGAAAUAAGGAUUUAAAAUGUAGCAGAAAUACCUACUCAAGGAUAGAGAGAAACUAUGUGACUGAAUGAUUCUGUGAAAAGACUUCUUACAGUUGUGAAAUAUUUAGAAAUGAAAAAAAAUUUGUAAUUAGACUAAUUCAUUUAGUGAUUCCUAAUAUUUUGUACUCACGGGGAACUAAUUGACUAAAUAACUUGAAUGCUAAUGGUUUGUCCUUUCUUAGACAAUCUGUCCUUGAAUUUAAAGUCUUUGUCACUAAGACCUUGAAUUUAAAGGUUUCAUAAUUACAACCUUGAAUUUAAAGUCCUCAACAUGAUGACUUUGAAUUUAAGUUAAAGUCCUCACACUCUGAUGUUUAUCUUAUUAUUUACAAAGGUAUCACUUGGAAAUGUAGUGUGUGAAAGUAUGUAGUGUGUUAUUACCACAAGUUUCUUCACAAUGUCUCAUGUUGUCUAAAUUUGUAAAUACUGCUUCUGUUUAGUUUCUCAUUUAUACACUUGACCGUCUAACUUUGUGAUAAGUGACAUGAAUUUUAUGUUAGGAUUAAGGAUGUUUUCCUGAAACAUGGAUUUUUUUUUUUUGUAAUUAUAUAAUUGAGAGUUUGGAAUGAAAUCCUUAAGUGUCAAAAACUCAUCUUUUAAAAACAAAGUUUGGUUGCAAUCCUGUAUUUUGUGUAAUUGCCUAUUUCCCAUAAGUUAAAGUUAAUAAGCCUUUACUCUUAAGAUGGAAGGUGGCAUUGACACUCAUUGGCCUGCAGCCAGAGUAUAGCAGAGUCUCUCCUAGCUUUGUGUCCUCUUGUGCUCCACCUUCCAUUUUCCCCAGGAAGGGUUCUUUUGUAAAGAAAGUAGUAGAAAGAGAGAGUAGUGUUCAGGCUAAGCAGCUGUAAUCAGGGACCAUGAAGAAAAACUUCCCCUUCCCUGUUGACUCAUGACAAAACAUAAAAUACAGCCAGUAAUUUGUCCUGCUUAUUUUUCACAUAUAUAGUCAUACACUGCGCAAUGAUGUUUCAGUCAACAACAAACCACAUAUACAAUGGUCUGCAGCCUCAUACAUCUUGUGUUUACCACAUCUCUUGAAUACAGCGUUCUCUCUCGUGCUUGAUUUAAUCUCAUGUUGUUUUGUUCACCAUGGCCUCUAAGCAAACAGAAUCCACUAGUACUGCCAAUAAGAGGCUAUCUAUGUCAAGUGAUGGACCUGCAAAUGAAGUUAUUGAGGACUAUGGAGGUGGGAAAUCAGUAAUGGUUAUUGCUCACCAGUCAGCCAUCCCACCAUAGCUACCAUCUUGAAGAACAAGAACAAAGUGAUGGAAGCUGUUCAAGGAUCUGCUUCACUGAAGCCAACAAGACUAGCAAAAAUUCAAGACAGGUUUCUAUUUGGUAUAGAGAAACUUCUAAUGGCCUGGAUUGAAGACCAGGGAGAGAAGUUCAUCAUGAUUGCCAGGGUCCUUCCCCAGCAGGGUUCAGGGAGUCCUGAAGGAUGAGUGGUGUCAGCGCAAAGGAUGAGACAAGGAGUCGUUCCUUUGGAGCAAUCUCCAGAGAGAGCUCUCAUGCAGCUUUCUCCGGGUCAUCUUUUAUUACAAUUUUUCUCAUCAUUAUGGAUUCAGAAUACAUCAUUGAUUUUACAGUUUCCAGAUUUUUCCCAAGAUGUGACAUUUCCUUAACAAUCAUCAUGGGUAUAGAAAAAUGUGUCAUCAGUUUACAUUUUUCCAGGAUAUGACAUUUGCUUAUCAAUUUUAUGGGUACAAAAUCAAUAAAAUGUGUCACUAAUUUGCAUUUUUCAAUUUCCCCAAGAUGUACUAUUUUCUUAUUAACAGAUGCCAAACUACGUAAUUUAAGUCUCCCACCUAUCGUUAACCUUUAAAGUAUACCUGUACUAAGAUCCCAUCUAAAGAAGUCCCCUCAAAUCUUAUACUUAAAAUAUCCUAAGUCUAUAAACUAUUCUUACAGCAUCUUAAGGACCCAUACAGCUAAAAACUUAAUUCUAAACUUAAGAAUCUAAAAUAAUAUUUCUAACAUUCUAAAAAUGUGUCUUUAAAGCUACUUUAAUUAAUUCCUACAUUUAUUCUCAUAAAAUUGGUUGAGCUGCUUUUGUUAAAGCACAACACAAAGAAAAGACCACCAACUCCAAUUUAAAUCAAAGCAAGCUUGUGUCCAGGGCCGUCUCUCCCAAAACCCAUGGGAAUAGAAGACAGCCCCACAGCUCUCUGGGAGUGCAGCUUAUAGCACAGAAAGUUGCAAAAAGGGGGAGGUGUCUUGAGAACUUAAAUAGGAUUUUGACAAGCAUAACACAAAGGCAGGUAGUAGGUUUAAUGGUCCAGCACUUAGGGAGUAAAUUUAGAUCCCAACAUAAGAAUUUAUGAGGCACCACUAGAGUUUCAGAGAGGGUUGUUAUCUGGUCAGGGAAAACCAGGAAUGGGUGAGUUCAAGGCAUG
rnacentral:lncRNA from 1 species